rnacentral:tRNA from 1 species
GGCACCAUGGGUUGUCUGGCUAAAGCACCUGCCUCAUAAACAGGAAAUCCUGGGUUUAACUCCCAGUGUUACCU